rnacentral:rRNA from 1 species
GACGAACGCUGGCGGCGUGCCUAAUACAUGCAAGUAGAACGCACAGUUUAUACCUUAGCUUGCUACACCAUAGACUGUGAGUUGCGAACGGGUGAGUAACGCGUAGGUAACCUGCCUGGUAGCGGGGGAUAACUAUUGGAAACGAUAGCUAAUACCGCAUAAUAUUAAUUAUUGCAUGAUAAUUAAUUGAAAGGUGCAAUUGCACCACUACCAGAUGGACCUGCGUUGUAUUAGCUAGUAGGUGAGGUAACGGCUCACCUAGGCGACGAUACAUAGCCGACCUGAGAGGGUGAUCGGCCACACUGGGACUGAGACACGGCCCAGACUCCUACGGGAGGCAGCAGUAGGGAAUCUUCGGCAAUGGACGAAAGUCUGACCGAGCAACGCCGCGUGAGUGAAGAAGGUUUUCGGAUCGUAAAGCUCUGUUGUAAGAGAAGAACGGGUGUGAGAGUGGAAAGUUCACACUGUGACGGUAUCUUACCAGAAAGGGACGGCUAACUACGUG